GACGAAGGCCCCGAGCGUUAUCCGGAAUGAUUGGGUGUAAAGCGUUCAACGGCGGUCUGCCGCGUCGAUCGUCAAACCCACGGGCUCAACCCGUGAACCGCGGUCGAUACGGGCAGACUCGAGGACGGGAGAGGGAAGCGGAACUACCGGUGUAGUAGUAAAAUGCGUUAAUAUCGGUAGGAACACCAAUAGCGAAGGCAGCUUCCUGGAACGUUCCUGACGCUCAACGAACGAAAGCGUGGGUAGCGAAUGGG
rnacentral:rRNA from 1 species